rnacentral:misc_RNA from 1 species
UCCGGUUUGUCACCGGCAGUCCCAUUAGAGUGCUCAACUGAAUGUAGCAACUAAUGGCAAGGGUUGCGCUCGUUGCGGGACUUAACCCAACAUCUCACGACACGAGCUGACGACAGCCAUGCAGCACCUGUGUUACGGUUCCCUUUCGGGCACACCUCCAUCUCUGGAGGCUUCCGUACAUGUCAAGGGUAGGUAAGGUGGGGAUGACGUCGACGU